rnacentral:tRNA from 1 species
AAGAUACUAGUAAAAUUAUUACACUACCUUGUCAAGGUAAUAUUAUGAGCCCCCCUACUCAUGUAUCUUG